rnacentral:lncRNA from 1 species
CACGUCUAGCGACGCGUUCGCUGAAAGUUGUUGAAGCUCCAUUGGGUUGACAAGAGGUGAGCAACACCCGGAUCCAGCGGCGGCGCCUCCGUGGUUCUGGACACCUCAGCCGACCGGUCGCACUUGCACUCUUCUGCUCUUUAAUCAUUCCCUCAAGGGCUGAUCCCAUAUUCGUCCUCUCGAUUCAUUUUGGUACUCACACGUAAGUUUCCCAGCCAUGUCUUGUCAUG